rnacentral:rRNA from 1 species
GGGUUGUGAGGUUAAGCGACUAAGCGUACACGGUGGAUGCCCUGGCAGUCAGAGGCGAUGAAGGGCGUGCUAAUCUGCGAUAAGCGCCGGUAAGGUGAUAUGAACCGUUAUAACCGGCGAUACCCGAAUGGGGAAACCCAGUGUGAUUCGUCACACUAUCAUUAACUGAAUCCAUAGGUUAAUGAGGCGAACCGGGGGAACUGAAACAUCUAAGUACCCCGAGGAAAAGAAAUCAACCGAGAUUCCCCCAGUAGCGGCGAGCGAACGGGGAGGAGCCCAGAGCCUGAAUCAGCAUGUGUGUUAGUGGAAGCGUCUGGAAAGGUGCGCGAUACAGGGUGACAGCCCCGUACACAAAAGCGCAUGUGCUGUGAGCUCGAUGAGUAGGGCGGGACACGUGGUAUCCUGUCUGAAUAUGGGGGGACCAUCCUCCAAGGCUAAAUACUCCUGACUGACCGAUAGUGAACCAGUACCGUGAGGGAAAGGCGAAAAGAACCCCGGCGAGGGGAGUGAAAAAGAACCUGAAACCGUGUACGUACAAGCAGUGGGAGCACAGGUUUACCUGUGUGACUGCGUACCUUUUGUAUAAUGGGUCAGCGACUUAUAUUCUGUAGCAAGGUUAACCGAAUAGGGGAGCCGGAGGGAAACCGAGUCUUAAUUGGGCGUUAAGUUGCAGGGUAUAGACCCGAAACCCGGUGAUCUAGCCAUGGGCAGGUUGAAGGUUGGGUAACACUAAC